rnacentral:rRNA from 1 species
GACGAACGCUGGCGGCGUGCUUAACACAUGCCAGUCGAGCGGAAAGGCCCUUCGGGGUACUCGAGCGGCGAACGGGUGAGUAACACGUGAGUAACCUGCCCUAGACUUUGGGAUAACCCUCGGAAACGGGGGCUAAUACCGGAUACUCCUUCUAAAUCGCACGAUUUGGUUGGGAAAGUUUUUCGGUCUGGGAUGGACUCGCGGCCUAUCAGCUUGUUGGUGGGGUAAUGGCCUACCAAGGCGAGGACGGGUAGCCGGCCUGAGAGGGCGACCGGCCACACUGGGACUGAGACACGGCCCAGACUCCUACGGGAGGCAGCAGUGGGGAAUAUUGCACAAUGGGCGGAAGCCUGAUGCAGCGACGCCGCGUGAGGGAUGACGGCCUUCGGGUUGUAAACCUCUUUCAGCAGGGACGAAGCGUAAGUGACGGUACCUGCAGAAGAAGCGCCGGCCAACUACGUG